rnacentral:ncRNA from 1 species
AAAAAGGCCCUUUUCAGGGCCACCAAAACGUUUAUUUAUAAUGUAU